rnacentral:tRNA from 1 species
CGGAGGAUUGGCCGAGCUGUAAGGCAGCGGCUUGCCAAGCCGUCGUCGGGGUCACCCGCGCAGGUUCGAUCCCUGCACCUCCGC